AGUGCGGUGGCCGAGCAGUUAAGGCGUUGGGCUUAAGUUCCAAUGGACGUUAACCCUCGUGGGUUCGAAUCCCACCUGCACUA
rnacentral:tRNA from 1 species